rnacentral:tRNA from 1 species
GGGCGGUUAGCUCAGGGGGAGAGCGCCACCUUGACACGGUGGAGGUCACUGGUUCGAUCCCAGUAUCGCCCACCA